CGCGGAGUGGAGCAGUCUGGUAGCUCGUCGGGCUCAUAACCCGAAGGUCGUAGGUUCAAAUCCUGCCUCCGCAA
rfam:Vagococcus penaei strain CD276, complete genome.